rnacentral:rRNA from 1 species
AUGAGGCGCCUCGUGUUCGCGGAGCUCGUGGUCCUCCUCGCCGCGGCGCUCCUGCUCCCCGUCGUGAUCUGCUGCCGGCGCUCGAGCGGCGGCGCCACGCGGCCGCUGCCCGUCUCGGAGCAGCCCGGCGCCGGUGCCAACGCCAGCAGGAAGGAGCGCCGCGUCGAGCGGCUGCGGCGGGCGCUCCACGCCCUGCGCGUCUGGUGCCGCCGCUCCCGCGUCGAGCCGGCGGCCUCCGCGUCCGCGUCUCCGGACGACGGCGCGCAGGCGCAGGGGGAGGUUCAGCUGGAGCAGAUCGCCGCCCCGGCGGCGGCGGCGGAGCAGGCGGGGCACGAGGAGGAGGGUGUGGCGGCGUGGCGCGAGCGCUGGUUCGGCGGCCCCGGGUCGCGCGCGCUCUACACCAUCGAGGAGGCGUCGGAGACGGAGGGCGACGUGGAGAGCCAGUACGGCGCCGAGCCCGAGACGCCGUUCUACACGCCGCCGGCCUCGCCGCCGCACGAUGGAGAGCAAGCAGACCAGCCGGAGCACGGCGAGGCCAGUUAG